UUAAUGAAGUCAUAAUCUUAUGACAUAGAGGUUAUUAAUCAAAGGCUUGUAAAUUUGUGAAGCCUUAAUUGCCGUUAUAUGAAGUCAAUAUGUGGAUUAAUCUACGUGUGGAGUUGUAGUUGGACUUCUCUAUUGAGCAUUGAACAAUUGUCGUCCAUGCAAGGGUCAUUAAUGAUGAAUUAGUCUCUAGUAGGAGAUUGUUAAAUUGUAAAAUUUAAUUAUUCUCAUUGUGCGG
rnacentral:lncRNA from 1 species